CAGUGAAAUUGGAAUUUCAGGUAAACAACAAAUAAAAUUUCCAGUAUAAGUAUAUCCCAUGCAAUACUUGGGGCAUACUUAUACUAAAAAAUUAUUCCAUUCUUUACCUGGAAUUCGAAUUUAACU
rnacentral:miRNA from 1 species